UGACUAUGGCAUAAUCAUAUUCCUCUUGACCUUCAACUUGAUUACUGUGUCAAGCUAUAGGGUUGACAAUGUGUUGAAGAUUGCACAUGACAGAAUCUACACCAUUGCUAUAGGCUGUGGCAUUUGCCUCCUCAUGAGUUUGCUCAUAUUCCCAAUUGGUCAGGGGAAGAUCUCCAUAAUUCAACAAUAUCUCAGCAUGGUUAAGUGACAAUUAUAGCAAAUUAUCAAUUGAUAUAUAUAUAUAUAAAUAUAAUUAGCACUUAACCAUGCUGAGAUAUGUUGCAAUAUACAAAGGCUAUAAAGCUGUUUUGGAUUGAAGCCUCUGGAGAGGACAAAUCGUCUGAGGAUCCAAUAUAUAAAGGCAAUAAAGCUGUUUUAGAUUCAAAAUCCUCUGAUGAAAUGUUGGCAAGUCCAUUUAAUCAUUCCUUGGUUCAUUAUUCCAAUGAAUUAUUGAUGAUAGAAGAUCUUCUAGUAAUUUGGAUAGGCAUUACAUGCAAGUUGGGAGCCAAGGCAUUCAUGUCACAAAUUUCCAUGGCAGCAGUAUGUUAAAGUUGGAGUUGUUCUUCGCCAAUUCGGAUACACUGUGGUUGCUUUAAUGGCUGUUUGAGAACAGAAAUUCAGGCAAAAAUUGGGCAUGAAAAUAAGCACUCAGAAAGCAAAUAAUCAAGACAAAAGAAGGAUUGGAGUGAGGACAGAGAUUAUCAUGACAAAGUGCACCAAAAAUUAUGAUGGAGAUUUUAUGUAUUAAAAGCUACAUGUUAAGACAUUUAUAAUUAAAAAAUUAUGUUAUGUUAGAUACUUUAUUUGUAUAGAGGUUAUUAUUUUUUAUUUUUAAUACUAAAAAAUAAUAUAUUAUGUUUAAUA